UGCCACUCUGAUGGUGUAUAAAAUCCCAAUGGAAGAUGUGAAGUCACUAGCCAAGUCUUUUGCCCAGUUAGAAAAUGCAAAACAGAACUUUAACUUUGAAGAGUACAACUUCUCCCAGUCAACUCUUGAACAAGUUUUCAUGGAGUUCGCUAAAGAGCAAGAGAACGAAGAAGAGGCGGUCGGAUCAC